rnacentral:rRNA from 1 species
UACGUAGGGCGCAAGCGUUAUCCGGAAUUAUUGGGCGUAAAGAGCUCGUAGGCGGUUUGUCGCGUCUGCUGUGAAAGACCGGGGCUCAACUCCGGUUCUGCAGUGGGUACGGGCAGACUAGAGUGCAGUAGGGGAGACUGGAAUUCCUGGUGUAGCGGUGAAAUGCGCAGAGUAUCAGGAGGAACACCGGUGGCGAAGGCGGGUCUCUGGGCCGAUACUGACGCUGAGGAGCGAAAGCGUGGGGAGCGAACAGG